GUUCUCAUCCAUCCCGCCCCCGCCUGUCUAUGCAAUGCAUGACGCGUCUAUAUAAGCAUGAGCAUCCAUGAUCCAUCCAUGGAAUGGAACGGAAGCAAGCCCAGCGUGGUGAGUGCCCAAGAGAAAGCGUGAAGCUGCCAGCAUGAUCUAACUCUUGAAGAGCUAUGGCCGGCCGCGGGCGGGGUGGUUUUGGUUAGAUCGUGCUGUGACAGUUUCACUCUUUCCCUGUUGGGCACAUGACAUGAGAGGCAGAGACGCCGCGAGAGUCCGCGAUGGUCGUGUGCAGGCAGGCUGGGGGCAUCAACGAAGCACGGAAGUACGAUCGGUUCAAGCUAGAGGGAGAGGGAGUCUUUCAAUUCAAUGUCGAUGCUAUCUAUCUGACCGCUCGUCAUUUGUCAUGCUCGGAACCAGCCGGCCAUCCUCACAGACGGCUUGACUGGUCCUUCUCCUUCCUGCAUCGGCUUCUCGAGGAAGCCAGCCAAUGUUCGUGGCUCUAUCUGCUGGAAGCUGCAAGCUGCAGCUCUUGGUCAGUUACUUCUUCAAGCCAAAUAGUCCACGACGUACCUCCAUUGAGAUCCAUAUAUGUAAACACCUUGAAAGCAAAGUAAUACAGUAUGAGAAAAGCAUUUCCGAUGUUGGACGCGGAGUUUCA